CUACGGGUGGCUCCAGUGAGGAAUAUUGCACAAUGGGGGAAACCCUGAUGCAGCAACGCCGCGUGGAGGAUGACGCAUUUCGGUGUGUAAACUCCUUUUAUGAGUCAAGAAAAUGACGGUAGCUCAUGAAUAAGCACCGGCUAACUCCGUGCCAGCAGCCGCGGUAAUACGGAGGGUGCAAGCGUUACUCGGAAUCACUGGGCGUAAAGGACGCGUAGGCGGGCUUGUAAGUCAGGUGUGAAAUCCUACAGCUUAACUGUAGAACUGCACUUGAAACUACGAGCCUAGAGUAUGGGAGGGGCAGAUGGAAUUAGUGGUGUAGGGGUAAAAUCCGUAGAUAUCACUAGGAAUACCGAAAGCGAAGGCGAUCUGCUGGAACAUUACUGACGCUAAGGCGUGAAAGCGUGGGGAGCAAACGGGAUUAGAUACCCCCGUAGUC
rnacentral:rRNA from 1 species